rnacentral:rRNA from 1 species
CCAGGUCAGGCGGGGCUACC